GGUCAGUUAGUGAAUUAGACCAAUUAGAGCUUGUACAGUUAAAUUAUCUGUCUUAUUACCUUCUGAUAAACAGCCUUGUCAUAUCUUUACUCAGAUGAUGAAGCUUGGAAGUGUUUUAUGAGGAUUUACAUGGUUCUGGAAGUAUCAUCUGUAAACCUGAACAGAGAUGACUGAAGAUGGGUGAACUGAGUAAAGGUUCCCAUCAUGGAAGUGAGGUAGGAAAAACAGGAGCACAGUUCAUCUGAACCACCUUUGACAACAACUUAACAGCAGGUAUCUUGCCUACUAAAAGAAGAGACAAGAGAAGUCCUCUCUGUUUAAUACAGUGAUCUCUAGAUUUACAGGUAAAGU
rnacentral:lncRNA from 1 species